rnacentral:misc_RNA from 1 species
CAACCCUCAAGCAUAGCUUGGCAUUGGGCUCCGCUGAUUCCAGCGCGCCUUAAAAUCAGUGGCGGCGCCCUCAGGCUCUGAGCGUAGUAAAUAUCCUCGCUACGGAGUCCUGAGUGGUGGUAGCCAUCAACCCCAACUUUCUAA